CGAGGCCGCGACACCAUUCACUCUCUCAGUCUCACUCACACUCUGCUGUAAUUUUCGGGAGGAGAUUUGGAAGAUUCUCGCUGUCUUCGUAGUCAAGGCUAAGUCAAGUUACAGCACUUCCAGAAGAUAUUGUUUUCCCCCUGAGGACGCUCUUUGAGGUUGCUGCAAUGGAGCAGAAAUUGGCAGACCCCACCUUCCACAAACAAGUGGUUGGCGUGGUGGCAGAAAUUGGAGGAAGAACAUUGGAUGAAGCCACCAGAAGAAUGAUGGCCUUCCUUUUAGACCACUCCCUAUCAAGAGAGUACAAUUUUGUUGGCUGCCAUGGAAAGCGAGAGUUUCGGGGCUCAAACUGUUUGAGGUUGUAUAUGGAAGCUUGAAAAAAAGUGCCCUUACAAACCAGAUUACUAGAAGAGAUGCUGAAAAGGCAGUGUCAAAGUGGCUAAUUGGUGCCAGGGACAGGGGAGGAAACCGUACAGCGAGGGCACGUGGUGGAGAGCAAGAUGGGGCCGUUGGGAGAGCGACAACAGAGGACUGAGAUUCUGCACUUUUGUUUUUGUAUGUGAAAUAUAAAGUUUGUCAAAAGCCUUCACUUUUGAUACUUGUCUGUUAAUACACAUAUGUUAAUAAAUAUUCUGUUAAUAAAGUAAAGCUUGAAGUAAUGGUUUCUGUUCAUUGCUUACAUAUAAUGUUUGUAUUUAGGGGUUUACUGUAAAAUAAGGUAACCCAAAAAGACAAAUAUGGUAGCCCAUAUAUACACCCGUUGUGGCCCAUAAGAGCCCUAGAUAAGACCUAUCUGGGUCCCAUCAUCAACCCAUGUGGGCAGACUCCUGUAGUCCCUAUAUGGGGACUACCUAGGCUACCCAUAUGGGCCCGAUAUGGAGCCCAUCAAGAGCCCAUCAUCAACCCAUCUGGGCUAACACAUGUGGGGCCUCCAUGGAAACUGCGGCCAAAAUUAGCUGGGUCCCAGUUGGGUAGCCCAGGUGGGCCCCGGAUAUCAGCCCAUUUGCAGCCCGUUUGG